AAGCAGCUUUGAAAGAGGGUGGACCUACAAUACAAUCAGUACAACCAUACAGUUAAUAAAUGCCUAGACUAUCUUGGCUCUUGGAAAACAAAUCAGGACUGCCUCUCACUCCUGACGUCCGGUCGCCGUGACAAAAAGAAAUUUUAAUGUCUUGUGUGACGACUGUUUACACACUUUCUCGUAUGUAAAUAAGGAGUUAUAGGAAGACAUAUAAAUCAUUGAACGACUUCAGCCAGAUUUCCAUAGUGAAGUCCAUAGUGAAUGUGUCAUAGACUGUCAAGAGGAGAGGCCUUUAGGUCGAAUCAAUAUAUUUUGUCGUUUCUUGGGGAAAGAUUGCUUUGAAGAGUGGUCACAGAAUGAAACGACUAAGACAUUUUAUUUUGACGACACAAGAGCGAGAAAAUUUGGAAUCGCUUGGAGUUUUUAUAUAUUGACUAUAUUUUUCCCAUCUGUAAACAUCGCACGCAAUCUGAGAUCUCCGGUCUUAUACAAAACCAAACACAGUUGUCUAAAAAACAAUAUUAGUUAUAUAUAUAUAUAGGCUAUUUCAUGAGAGGAUAAAGAAAUAUAAUCGAGUCUUAUGAUUAUUACUACACUUUCUGUCUGCUAGAAAAUCUCUUUUAAUCUACGCCCAUACUAAUCUUAGCCGAUAGCUUAUUUGGAAAUCACCAUGUCUGCGAUCUACGAGUCUUUUUUCGUUCUUUUUUCAUCAGUUUUUGUUGCAAAAGAAACUCAAUAAAGCCAACAAAACAAUAA